AUUGAACGCUGGCGGCGUGCUUAACACAUGCAAGUCGUGCGGUAACAGGCGUAGCAAUACGUGCUGACGAGCGGCGAACGGGUGCGUAAUACAUGGGAAUCUGCCCUUUGGUGGGGAAUAACCCGGCGAAAGCCGGGCUAAUGCCGCAUAAGAUCUUCGGAUGAAAGCGGGGGAUCGUAAGACCUCGCGCCGAUGGAUGAGCCCAUGUCGGAUUAGCUAGUUGGNGAGGUAACGGCUCACCAAGGCGACGAUCCGUAGCUGGUCUGAGAGGACGGCCAGCCACACUGGGACUGAGACACGGCCCAGACUCCUACGGGAGGCAGCA
rnacentral:rRNA from 1 species